GCGCGAAUGGCGGAAUUGGUAGACGCGUACGUUUGAGGGGCGUAUGGCAUUGCCGUGUGAGUUCGAUUCUCAUUUCGCGCACCA
rnacentral:tRNA from 1 species